rnacentral:rRNA from 1 species
AGUGGAGCUUGCUCCAUGAUUCAACGGCGGACGGGUGAGUAAUGCCUAGGAAUCUGCCUGGUAGUGGGGGACAACGUUUCGAAAGGAACGCUAAUACCGCAUACGUCCUACGGGAGAAAGUGGGGGAUCUUCGGACCUCACGCUAUCAGAUGAGCCUAGGUCGGAUUAGCUAGUUGGUGAGGUAAAGGCUCACCAAGGCGACGAUCCGUAACUGGUCUGAAAGGAUGAUCAAUCACACUGGAACUGAGACACGGUCCAGACUCCUACGGGAGGCAGCAGUGGGGAAUAUUGGACAAUGGGCGAAAGCCUGAUCCAGCCAUGCCGCGUGUGUGAAGAAGGUCUUCGGAUUGUAAAGCACUUUAAGUUGGGAGGAAGGGCAGUAAGUUAAUACCUUGCUGUUUUGACGUUACCAACAAAAUAAGCACCGGCUAACUUCGUGCCAGCACCCGCGGUAAUACGAAGGGUGCAAGCGUUAAUCGGAAUUACUGGGCGUAAAGCGCGCGUAGGUGGUUCGUUAAGUUGGAUGUGAAAGCCCCGGGCUCAACCUGGGAACUGCAUCCAAAACUGGCGAGCUAGAGUAUGGCAGAGGGUGGUGGUAUUUCCUGUGUAGCGGUGAAAUGCGUAUAUAUAGGAAGGAACACCAGUGGCGAAGGCGACCACCUGGGCUAAUACUGACACUGAUGUGCGAAAGCGUGGGGAGCAAACAGGAUUA